CUCUAACCCUGGAACAGAUGGAUAACGGACUCGAUGCUUUAUCUCCUCCUGACCACACUCUCCUUCUCCCCGCACUCACCGUCGGUUUUCCUUUCACCUCCAUUUUCCUUCAUCUUCACUUUCUUGCUCCUCAUCAUCUAAACUCUCAGAUCUUGAUUUACCUGUGCUCACCUGUGCGCUCUACCCUGUUUUCCCAGCACUUUUUUCACACUCCUUCUCAUGACUCCCACUGUUUAUUUUCCUCCUCUUUCCAUCCUCACACAUGGUGCUUCUUUUCUACUGUGUGUUUGUUUGUCAGCACUUCUCCUGGCUGAAUUUUGAGCUUUGUUAUCUGAAUAUCAGAGUGUAACAACGGCCGUGCCAAAAAGUGUAACACCCUGCGUCAAUUCCGGUUAUUGAACGGUGUUUAUUUAACAUUUUUCUACAUGCAUUGGCUCUUUUCCAAAUAUGACAUCUGAAAAAUACAGAAUUUUUGAUGCAGUGAUAUAAAAUAGAAAAAAGAGGAAAAUUAAAGGUGUAAUUCCCCUUUUUUCUUCAUGAUAACUUGCAAAAUACUAAACUAAACCUGGUUUUAAUGAUAAUUUAAUAAAAAAAAUAUAGUGUUUAUGAUAAAUCCUGUGACUCGGUUGAAUUGUUUCUAAUAAAAUGGUGACAAAGUCAUUAGUCAGAGUCUGAGUCAGCUCCUGCAUCUUUAAAUUAACAUUUCAUUGAAGCAGCAGAAUAAUAUUUUAGUAUGGUCUAAAUAACUCUCCAGAAUUCCCCCUCUUCUCUCCUCUUGUGUUAAUGCAUGGCAUCAUUAUAAACAUUUAUGCAGCGCAGGAGCCUCUCGUGCCAAAGGGGCUGACGCUCUUGCGGAUCGAACCUUUCGAUUGAUACUGAAACAAUUUGCAUACUGAUUCUCUUUCAGUGCGCACGGAUCCAUAACAACACCGGCCAGCUAUUCAAAUGCGCCUGCAUCGAGAAAAGCAGGGAGAGAAGCCCGGCACCGGAGCAGGAGGGAAACACGGGCUGUUUUUUACCGGACGGAUCAUUUGCUUAAACUUGAAGCGGAGAAGUCAUCUCCAUGCAGCCGCUGUGAGGAUGUUUACCGCAGGCUGGACUGUGUGUGGACUCCGAAGCUGGGGAUCGGAGGAGGAGGAGGACGAGGGAGAGAGAGGGUGGGACGGGAGAAACACACGGAGGAGACGCGCGGAUGUGAGCACGUCCCUCCGCUUCUUCUUCCAGCUCGUGUUUGUUGGAGUUAAAAGAGUCCAAGUAUAGGCUGUAGAUGUUUCAGCUCUGUGGUUGGGAGAGAGCUGGGCGGCUGUUAAAGAUGCAUGACAGAAACGGAUGCUGCGGUAAAGUCGGGGACUACAUCUGAGAGUGUGUGUGUGGGUGUGUUGGUGUGUGUGCGUCCUUUUGUACAGUGCGUGCGCGGUGUGUUUUCUGUGUGUGGCGCCGAGGAGAAGAGAAGUUUUAACGCAGACAUUUUGCACUCUGGCACCCUGUUGAGAAGAAAGAUGGAC
rnacentral:lncRNA from 1 species